AUUGAACGCUGGCGGCAGGCCUAACACAUGCAAGUCGAACGGCAGCGGGGGAUAGCUUGCUAUCCUGCCGGCGAGUGGCGGACGGGUGAGUAAUGCAUGGGGAGCUGCCCAAUCGAGGGGGAUAACAACUGGAAACGGUUGCUAAUACCGCAUACGCCCUGCGGGGGAAAGGUGGGGACCUUCGGGCCUACCGCGAUUGGAUGCACCCAUGUGGGAUUAGCUGGUUGGUGAGGUAACGGCUCACCAAGGCGACGAUCUCUAGCUGGUCUGAGAGGAUGACCAGCCACACUGGAACUGAGACACGGUCCAGACUCCUACGGGAGGCAGCAGUGGGGAAUAUUGCACAAUGGGGGAAACCCUGAUGCAGCCAUGCCGCGUGUGUGAAGAAGGCCUUCGGGUUGUAAAGCACUUUCAGUGGGGAGGAAGGGGAGUAAGCUAAUAACUUGCUUCAUUGACGUUACCCACAGAAGAAGCACCGGCUAACUCCGUGCCAGCAGCCGCGGUAA
rnacentral:rRNA from 1 species